rnacentral:rRNA from 1 species
UGUCGUGAUGAUGGCAUUGAGUUGAGGUCACACCUGUUCCCAUACCGAACACAGAAGUUAAGCUCAAUAGCGCCGAAAGUAGUUGGAGGAUCGCUUCCUGCGAGGAUAGGACGUCGCGAUGC